AGGAUAAACGCUGGCGGCGUGCAUGAGACAUGCAAGUCGAACGGACACUUGGGGCUUGCUCCAAGUGUUAGUGGCGGACGGCUGAGUAACGCGUAGGUGACCUGCCCCGAAGUGGGGAAUAACUGCCCGAAAGGGUGGCUAAUACCGCAUGUGGUGGUGUGUUCAUUCACACCAGUAAAGCCGCAAGGCGCUUCGGGAGGGGCCUGCGUCCGAUUAGCUCGUUGGUGGGGUAACGGCUCACCAAGGCGACGAUCGGUAGGUGGUCUGAGAGGACGAUCACCCAGACUGGGACUGAGACACGGCCCAGACUCCUACGGGAGGCAGCAGUCGGGAAUUUUGCGCAAUGGACGAAAGUCUGACGCAGCAACGCCGCGUGAGGGAUGAAGGCCUUCGGUUGUAAACCUCUUUAUCAGGGAAGAUAAUGACGGUACCUGAUGAAUAAGUCACGGCUAACUACGUGCCAGCAGCCGC
rnacentral:rRNA from 1 species